rnacentral:lncRNA from 1 species
GUUUUUGUGCAGGAACAGCCCCUCCCGUCUUUGUCCUGGCGGUGAGCACCCAGGGCUAAGCUUUUGAACACUUUCUUUGUGUUUGGAUUCAGCCCAGGCAAUGCAUAUUUGCUUUCAUUUCUUCUUGAGCUUGAGGAGCUCCUGGGUGCAAAUCUUGGAAAAUGAGGAUCUCUGAGCCUUUCCAGGCCAGCUCUUUGUUUUGUAGCAGACAAUUGAGGCUUUGAAAAGGAAAGUGGGUGGGGGCACCCCACAGGUGGCCCUCAUCACCCAAUUGCCAGUGCCUGCAGGCUGCUUCAGCAGAGGCCCAGAGUCAAAGAGGACUUAAAACCAGCUGUCGUUUCUCCCUUAGCUUCUGUGUAUGAGAGAAACGACUUCUGUUUUUCAAAGUAAGAACAAGGAGGAAUUUGUUUCUAAAAGAACAUUAAAACACAGGCUCGUGGUCUAAAAGCAAAUGGUUCAGCAGGAUGUUCAGGGCCUUAAAGCACAGUCAGCAGGACUCAGCAUCUCCCAGCACCUGCUCUCCGGUUGUCAUGGUAACAUCAUCCCCAACCCAACCACCUUGUCCAGCCGAGAGACAGCAAUCAUAAGGAGGGACCUCGGUUUCCCCCGAGGAUCCUGGGCUUCCUUUCUGAAACGCUUGCUUCUGAGCUCAGCAACCAGGAACACCAGGCCAGCCCAUCCCCAGCACCUCUGUGGAGAUGAGGGACAAAGUCCUACAGUCCCUCUUCCUGUUCUGAUGAGAAAGGGAGGGAAGAAAACAUACCCCGAGCGCCUGCAAUAUGGUCAUGACACUUUCAAAAAGCCUGUGCUAUGGAGUCAUGAUCAGAAACCAGAGUGUGGAGAGGGUCAGCAGCCUGCCUCAGAGCAGCCAGCUAGGCGGGGAGUGGUAAAUUUGGGACUUGUACCCAGGCAUGACUGGCUCCGAGCCCAGUGCUCCACUCUAUGGAAUGUUCCCUGGGCCUCAGUUGCUUUCCUUUCCUUUGCAGGCCGCGGGCUGCUGCCACUCUGGCAGCUGGUGAGUUAGCUGGAGGGCAACAUUCCAAAGCAGGGGCAGCAUGCUGCUUUCCUCCUGUGCCCACUCCUGCGGGGAAGUCCGUUGACUCCCACCGCUGAAGGGAGCUGGCAACACCAGGAUGAGGUCCCAGGGGACGGGAGCAGGUACCCACUGUCUGUCUACCUUCCCACUGGAAAAGCACGGACAGGCCAGCCCUUGCGGGGGCAGGCAGAGGACAGAGUUGGCUUUGCGCGGUCUCUGCCUGCUGAGCAGUUCCAAUUCCUCUCAUGGGAGAAACAAGGAGGCAGUCGCUUGUGCAUGUUCCAGAAGUUUUACUGGGGAGGAGGAAGCGGACAGAGGAAGCUGUGUGUGCAUGUGAAGGGGUGGGCAGGGUGGGAGGGAUGCACGCGUAUGUGAGCAUAGCAUGUGUGAGUACUACACACAUCUCCAUGCAGAAGCACAACUGGGCAGCCCUGGCUUCCAGCUCUGGGCUUCAGCACAACAGACACCAGCCUGUGGUCUCUCAGAAGCCAGGGAGACCACAUCGGGCUCAGGACGUUUUACCCAAAGUCCAGAGUUUUUAUGCCUCUCCCUGGCAUUCUCCAUAAAGAAGGGAAGGUCAGAUGACCCCUUAGAUCUGUGUCAUCUGGGAAUUUCCUUGGGCUGGUUUAGACACGAUGCCCUCUUUUUCUCAGGAUAGCAGAUAACCUGCUUUGAAAGAGGGCUUAAUUCUGUGGGUCCUAAAUUUUCUCCUUUCUCUCUCUCUUUCUGUGUGUGUGUGUUGGGAAAAUGGCAAGUUUCCAAUACCAGCUUUGGAGGAACGAUUACGUUUUCCCUCCAAUUUCAAGUCCGAAAGACCAGAGCCCUCAUUCCAAAGCCCCCCACCCAGAUGGAUUUUUUCGUUUCAUUUGUCAUCCGUCCCAUGGGAGGGCCCCAUGUCUCCUCAGAACCCAUCCUGGAGGCAGCAGGUCGGGUAGAGUGAGUUUGGCCUGCUCAUGACCUCCACCCCUGAGAUUGUGAACAAGGAUGUCUGGGGCGAUGCUGAGAAUGUUUUUGAAGCUGCUCCCAGAUGACGCUGAUGAUCACACCAGAUUGAGUGCUGCGAUCGCCUUGAGUCCAACCUCUGCAUAAACGAGGUUCUCAUAAACAAGUUCACUCUACCCUAAGCUAAGUCUAUGUGAGCAAACCCACUUCAUCCUUUGUACCUGGAGACCUGGUUACACUAACCUGAUACUGACCUGUUCAUGUAGCUGGAAUGGUGUGUUUCAUGCAGUGUGGACCAAGCAAUGGCAUGGGGUGUGUGUGUGUGUGUGUGUGUGUCUGUGUGUGUGUGUUUGUGUAUGCGUUCACACUUGUGUGUGUAUAUGUGCAUGUAGAUGCUGCAUAAAUGAUUUUUGAUGUCAAAGACAAACACAUUCCAUUGUUUUAAAUAUUCUAUUAUGUAAACAAUACGCAGAGGGACCAUAUCUACUCUUGUCAUAUUAUUUGUGAUGGUAAAACAUGCAUUUGCAAUAAAUUAAGCUUUCUGGGAAGGCAAGCAGUAUUGGAGCCAAACGACUGUCUCGGAACAUGUGUGUGUUAUCUCGGUUCAUAUCAAGUCCAAAGCUAAUGGAGCCUUCCCCGCCAUCCAGGGAGGAACACCAGGACCCCGGAGUUUCUUCUUAGUGCUAUAUUUUAAAGUUGCAUUGACGUUUUCCUCCCCUUCCUUUUGUGCAAGUUGGAAGUAGCAGUGUUCUAAAAGAUGGUUUGACGUUUUUGCUGUUGUUUUAUGUUUUUAAAAAUGUAUCUGCUUUGUGUUUGGAAAUAAAAAUCUCUAUUUUGGUCUAUGAAA